GAAGGAGGUGAAUGGAGCAGAUUGAGAGGGAGAAUAUGAAGAAACAGCAGGUGGCGCUAGUGCACUGUUUUAGUUUGUGAUCUGCUGUUAGAAGGAAGAAGAAGGAGAAAGCAGAUGAAGUCGUGUCAGGUGACACACAUCAAUCGUGAAGAUCGCACAGGUGUUUAACAGCGAUCACAAACCGAAAGUGUUUUAAAGACUUCUGGAUUCUGUUCUUGCAGCACAAGAUCGUCUGAACUACUGCAAGUCAUGAUGAGCAUCUGAUCGUCUUCAGAGACACAAAGAUCUCAGUGUUGAGCUGUUCAUCUGCAGUA